rnacentral:lncRNA from 1 species
GUGGGGAAGAAUGACUUGACCGAAUCUGAUCCAGAAAGACGAACCUUAGACCCGUACCAUGGCAUCCGCAGCUCUGCUCGUCGUGGGACUCUACCUCACCUCCCUCACCUCUUCAGAUGCACAGACUGUAAUCGGCACCUCCUCCUCUUUCGCCUCGUCACUCGACCUACCAAGGGCUUCCUCUCCUAAUCCUACCAAAGAAGCAGUGCGACUUUGGCCGUCCUUUCCCACUAGAGGGCGCAGUGAUGUCCCCAUUAAAGAGACAUUGCCAGAUGAGCUGUCAAAUUCGGUGCAACCUGGAUCGGUAUCGGCACAUCCCACUGUUCCUUCAAGGCUUCCAGUAAAGCAACCCUAUCGGCUGUAAGCCUAAGCAGUGGUGCUAUUGUAAACCAGACAAGUAUUACCAGAGCAAGGACAGAUACAGCGAGUCUAGCUAUCAUCAGGGCUAAAGCUAAGUUAGAUUCUACUACAAAGGGAACAGCUAUAGCUCAACCUACUUUGCAUUUAGGCGAAUCAGUAGACGUAACUACAGAUAAAGGACUUAAUGCUGAUUUGCAAGGUUUUGGGUCAGGGAAUGUCCCAACAAUAAAUGAGCAAUCUUUACCUCCUCCAGCAACAUAUGGGAAUGGACUGGCCCAGUAUCACCCACCAGCACAGACAGUAACAUCUAAAGGGAUGCCCCAACAGUUGUGGAUUUGUCUACACUGGGACAUCUGACAGAGAAGCCUGACGUUUUGGGCCUAACAACAACAAAGAAAGGGGAAAGGAUAGCAGAAUUGCCUGUGGUCACGCAAGGAACACCUCAGCCAGCAGUGUUAACAGGCGAAUUAACGGCCAAUGCUGCCUCAAAUGACAGAAGCACAACAAUGUCAGAGAUUCUUCCGACAACAACCACCACCAAAGUACAAGAGACCACUGCAAAAACAGCUUCAUCUCUGCAUUAAACACCACAACGAUACGAGUGAUCACACCAAGUACCUCUAUCACUACUUCUACUACAAUUACUACAGCUACUACAAAGACAUUUAUUCAAUCGAACAACGCUGCCACCCCAGCAAGACCAUCUAUAGACCCAGCGAGUCCUCAGUUAACCAGCGCAGGAACAUCUUCAUUUCAUAGGACUGGGUUUGCACCUGGGACAAGAUCACCUAUAAGCCCCACAUACCAGACCGCAGUAAGCCUGCGGAACCGGUCCCUCCCUCUGGGCCGCCCUCACCACCCUCCAACUGUAAACCCAAGCCCCUCUCCCAGUGUUCUCCCCUCCAACGGGACCUUCCUUUACUGGGGUGAUCUAAGUCGGACUCUGGCCUUUGUCUGGGAGCUUCACGUCUACGGGACAGCCAGUCUCUUCCUGCUCCUGUUUGCUGGUGCAGCUCUCGGUCUCACUCUCUCUCCUGGCGCGAACUGCCCUCAUCGGGGUGCUCUGGCUUUGGCUAAUAUUUUCCUGUUUGUGGCUGGGGGCGUCAGAGCUACUUUCUUCCUAACUGACCCAUAUGGCACUCGUAAAUUGUUCCCGCAUCCUGCAGUCAAGGCCCUUUACAACCUCCCUCUACACUUACUGGUGUGGACACAAGCGACUAUGGCUAUACUGGCUAUGAGGGCGGCAGGUGUGUGCUUUUUCCCCUCGACUCUUGAGCGCCCCCCGCUGGUUGCUGUGCUGGCAGUGUUACAGUGCACUCUCCUCCUCGCGGCUGACCUGCUCUCACCAGCUCUGUCCCCUGUGGUUCCUGUGACUCUGCAGUUCCUAUCUCUGUGCUGGGGCUGGUUGUCUGCCUGGUGUUUUUGUGCUACAUUUUCCCCCAGAUUCGCUGCCCCCGUCUCCCUCACGCCGCUCUACCCGACGAGUCCCGGCGGAAAGCUUGGACGGGGAGCAGGAGGCUGGUGGUUGUCCUCGGCAGAGUGUUGGCAGUGUGUGCAGUUCUAG